GCCUACAAGAAGAGGGCAACCAAGGCCGAAUCAAACCCAACCUAACCUAGCUUGUUCCAUUCCAUCAGGUAGCAAUCGCCCUCGAGAAAGGAGCAGGCGAGGCCAGGCCGAGCGGCGGAGUCGUACCAACGGCGCCGCGGCCGCGCAAAUCCUGCUCGACGGAAGUCCGCAGAGGCCUCCGCGUCGACAGUACGCGCAAGGGGCGCAGCUGGAGGAGGAGCUAAUCUAAGAAGAAGAAUUAAUUACCAGCGCUCUGCCAAUGGCGGGUUUCUUUUUCUUCCUCGCUCUCAUUUGCUUAGAUGCGGGAAAAUCCCGUUUAUGUCUGGGGAUUCGUGGCCUCCCUCUUCCUUUUUCUUGAAAGCACGCAAAUAAUAAUAAAAAACUAGACGUGAGGAAAAAAAACAAGGAAAAGGAAUAGAGCAGACAGGCUCAGCAGGGCAAAAAACAGCUGACAGUGACACUGUCUCUCUCUGACCUCCGUCUUUCUUUCUCUUGCUCUCCGCCUAAAAAGCAAGCAAGCAAGCCAGCCAAAGCAGAGAGAGGCUAAACCUUGUCGGCGAUUCGGACCCACGGAGGCGUUUCCGGCUCCCAUGGCAAUGGGCCCCUUCUCCUCCUCCUCCUCCUCCUCCUCAUCUACCUCUUCAUCCAUAGGAGGUCGUCGUGCGCGGAGAAGAAGAAGGUAUGAAGGUGAUUUGAGCUGCAGCAAUCAUGCGUUCUUGCGUUGAUCGCUGGAUUCUCUUGUCCUUGAUACUAAAAGUGGUUGUAUGGCAUUCGAUGAGGACAUGUUAAUUUGGAGAAUUAGGGAAUGAAGCCAUUUGGUCCGGGAGCAUCUGCAUAUACUUUUGUAUCAUAAUAUUGACAUAUCCAGUGAAUGAUUCAGGCAAUUCUAUAUAUGUUUAAUUUCAAGUUCAGUUAAAUGACUAAUUCAGUGCA